GAUGAACGCUGGCGGUGUGCCUAAUACAUGCAAGUCGAGCGAAUGACGAGGAGCUUGCUCCUCUGAUUUAGCGGCGGACGGGUGAGUAACACGUGGGUAACCUGCCUGUAAGACGGGGAUAACUCCGGGAAACCGGAGCUAAUACCGGAUGAUAACGAGAAGCGCCUGCUUCUUUUUUGAAAGUCGGUUUCGGCUGACGCUUACAGAUGGGCCCGCGGCGCAGUAGCUAGUUGGUGAGGUAACGGCUCACCAAGGCGACGAUGCGUAGCCGACCUGCGAGGGGGAUCGGCCACACUGGGACUGAGACACGGCCCAGACUCCUACGGGAGGCAGCAGUAGGGAAUCUUCGGCAAUGGACGAAAGUCUGACCGAGCAACGCCGCGUGAGCGAUGAAGGCCUUCGGGUCGUAAAGCUCUGUUGUCAGAGAAGAACAAGUACCGGAGUAACUGCCGGUACCUUGACGGUACCUGACCAGAAAGCCACGGCUAACUACGUGCCAGCAGCCGCGGUAAAAC
rnacentral:rRNA from 1 species